rnacentral:lncRNA from 1 species
GGGAAGGGCAGCGAGGCGGGGAGCGCCGACCCCUCAGCUGGCCCGGGACCCCCAGCUGCUGCCGUGCCCAGCCGAGCGCGGCCCCCGCCCCUCUGCCCCUGCCCUGGCCCCGCACUCCGCUUUCAAGACCCUGGACAACGCCGCCCGGCCCGACCGCUCUCAGCCCCUGCCCUUGCCCCUCUGCCGCCCUCGGGCUCCUGAGACCCCCGGCUCCUUCCUGCGGGAGCUCCCGGAGUGGCGAGCAGCGGGGUGACUGGGACUCUGUGUCAUUCCGGAGGCUCUGCACUGCCUGAUGCUGUGUGCGCACCCCUUCAGUGCGUGCUCUUACCCGCAUCUUGAAACCGGGGAGAAUAUACCUACAGAGAAGAAGCACAUGGCAGUGGAGUUCUCGGAAUUGCCCUGUGUGCUCUGUCUCCUGUGUACCGCACUUAAGUUUCACAUAGGUCAGGAGCAUGGAGCUUUCCCUGUCUUCUGCAGCCCUGAACAGGUUCGUUUGCCUGCCAAAUAAGCCAUGGCUAGGUAUCCACAUUUCCUCCACCUCCCCCACACGUUCUGGACCCAUUUCUACAUAGAGGUUGCAAAAUAGAAGAUGUUAUCAGGAUUGAUGUGGCUGCUCCCAUCUGCUCCCCCAAAUGAUGAGGUCUGCAGUACGAUUGGAAUAAAGUCUACUCCUACAGAACCCUACAGAAACAAUCCAGGAUUCUUUUAUGCUUUUCCAGUCCUCUCUUGUUUUCUUUCCCCUCCGCCCAUACCCACCUCUCAUGGAGCAGAAGUGGAACAGAACUACCACAUGUAUGCUGAAAAUCCAAAGGCCAGAUUUUGGGUAAUUGCAUUUAACUGUUCCUUUAAUGCCCAUUUUACAGCAAGAAAUACGGUCUACAAUCAUAAAUCCAAGCAUAGGUUCAUGCAGGCUUAUUAUAACAAACUUCAAGGUGUCAAGAUUAAAAGCACUGGCAAGCAUUAG